rnacentral:lncRNA from 1 species
UCAGCAAGAAACAUAUUCCCGUGAAGGUUCUAACCUGAGAUGGGAUUGAAUCUAAGGCUGAGAGUUGAAGCACAAAGACUGAUAAAAACUGAGAAUUGAUUAAACAAAAUUAAAACUAAAGGAAAAAAAAUCAUAAGAUCGAAUAUGAGAUUGAGCAAUGAAGCAAAAAAGAGAGAUUCAAAUCUGAGACUGAGAAUUGAAGCACAAAGAUGGGUGUGAGUUUAGAUACGGGGUAGGAAAGCAAAGAAAUUCAAACCUCUCAUAGAACUCAUAUCUUGUUCUCCUUCAAAGUUACUCUUCUACUAAAACUAAAAAUCAAAAUCAAGUUUUAUUGGAAGGAGAAAGUAUAAAUCAAUAAGAUUUGGUUGUGAUGUAACAGAUAGUCAAGAUUUAUGUGUAAAAAAUGUACAUAGAAGCCUACCUGGUUCUUCUUCUGGUAGCAA